UGGCUCAGUGGUUAAGAGCACUGGUUGUUCUUCCAGAGGACCUGGGCUCAAUUCCCAG
rnacentral:tRNA from 1 species